CACGAUCCACUACUGAAUCAAGGGAAAUUUACCUAAGGAAAGGUCAGGAACAGGUUUUCAGGGUGGCAACAGGAAGGUAGUCCGAACAUUCAAACGAUCCAUAAUAGGCACGGCUGGUGAGAAGCUCAGGAACAGGAAACAGGCAACA